GACGAACGCUGGCGGCGUGCUUAACACAUGCAAGUCGAACGGAAAGGCCUGCUUUCCCUUGUGGAUUGCGGGUACUCGAGUGGCGAACGGGUGAGUAACACGUGAGUGAUCUGCCCCCAACUUGGGUAUAAGCCUGGGAAACUGGGUCUAAUUCCCGAUAGGACUGCAGGGUGGUGCCUGUGGUGGAAAACGAUUUUCUAGUGGUUGGGGAUGAGCUCGCGGCCUAUCAGCUUGUUGGUGGGGUAAUGGCCUACCAAGGCGGCGACGGGUAGCCGGCCUGAGAGGGUGGACGGCAACAUUGGGACUGAGAGACGGCCCAGACUCCUACGGGAGGCAGCAGUGGGGAAUAGUGCACAAGGGGCGGAAGCCUGAUGCAGCGACGCCGCGUGGGGGAUGACGGCCUUCGGGUUGUAAACUCCUUUCGACCGCGAGGAAGCCACCUGGUUGGAAGGGUGGUGACGGUAGUGGUAGAAGAAGCACCGGCUAACUACGUG
rnacentral:rRNA from 1 species